rnacentral:rRNA from 1 species
UACGGAGGGGGCUAGCGUUGUUCGGAAUUACUGGGCGUAAAGGGCUCGUAGGUGGCCAACUAAGUCAGACGUGAAAUCCCUCGGCUUAACCGGGGAACUGCGUCUGAUACUGGAUGGCUUGAGUUUGGGAGAGGAUGCGGAAUUCCAGGUGUAGCGGUGAAAUGCGUAGAUAUCUGGAGGAACACCGGUGGCGAAGGCGGCAUCCUGGACCAAUACUGACACUGAGGAGCGAAGCCAGGGAGACAAACGG